UACGUAGGGGGCGAGCGUUGUCCGGAUUUAUUGGGCGUAAAGAGCGUGUAGGCGGCCUGACAAGUCUGCUGUGAAAACUCGAGGCUCAACCUCGAGAUGUCGGCGGAAACUGUCUGGCUAGAGUCCGGAAGAGGAGAGUGGAAUUCCUGGUGUAGCGGUGAAAUGCGCAGAUAUCAGGAAGAACACCAAUGGCGAAAGCAGCUCUCUGGGACGGUACUGACGCUGAGACGCGAAAGCGUGGGGAGCGAACAGG
rnacentral:rRNA from 1 species